rnacentral:rRNA from 1 species
AUUGAACGCUGGCGGCAUGCCUAACACAUGCAAGUCGAGCGAGCGGCGGACGGGUGAGCAAUGUAUGGGGACUGCCCGACAUAGGGGUCUAACUACUGGAAACGGUGGCUAAUACCGCUUACUAUCGGAUAACCCAUAUGGGAUUAGCUAGUGGGUGGGGUAAAGGCUCACCUAGGCGACGAUCUCUAGCUGGUCUGAGAGGGUGAUCGGCCACACUGGGACGGAGACACGGCCCAGACUCCUACGGAGGCAGCAGUGGGGAAUAUUGCACAAUGGGCGAAAGCCUGAUGCAGCCAUGCCGCGUGUAUGAAGAAGGCCUUAGGGUUGUAAAGUACUUUCAGCGGGGAGGCGUUACCCGCAGAAGAAGCACCGGCUAACUCCGUGCCAGCAGCCGCGGUAAUUC